rnacentral:rRNA from 1 species
GAUGAACGCUGGCGGCGUGCCUAACACAUGCAAGUCGAACGGACUUUUGAUGAAACCUAGUGAUUUAAAAGUUAGUGGCGGACGGGUGAGUAACGCGUGGGUAACCUGCCCUAUACCGGGGGACAACACUUAGAAAUAGGUGCCAAUACCGCAUAAGCGCACGGGACUGCAUGGUCCAGUGUGAAAAACUCCGGUGGUAUAAGAUGGACCCGCGUCUGAUUAGCUUGUUGGUGAGGUAACGGCUCACCAAGGCGACGAUCAGUAGCCGACCUGAGAGGGUGACCGGCCACAUUGGGACUGAGACACGGCCCAAACUCCUACGGGAGGCAGCAGUGGGGAAUAUUGCACAAUGGGCGAAAGCCUGAUGCAGCGACGCCGCGUGAGCGAAGAAGGCCUUCGGGUUGGUUAAA